rnacentral:rRNA from 1 species
CCUACGGGAGGCAGCAGUCGGGAAUAUUGCGCAAUGGAGGAAACUCUGACGCAGUGACGCCGCGUGCAGGAAGAAGGUUUUCGGAUUUUAAACUGCCUUAGACAGGGAAGAAAAAAGACAGUACCUGUAGUAUAAGCUUCGGCUAACUACGUGCCAGCAGCCGCGGUAAUACGUAGGGCGCAAGCGUUAUCCGGAUUUAUUGGGUGUAAAGGGUGCGUAGACGGGGAAGCAAGUUAGUUGUGAAAUCCCUCGGCUUAACUGAGGAACUGCAACUAAAACUACUUCCCUUGAGUACUGAAAGGGAAACUGGAAUUCAUGGUGUAGCGGUGAAAUGCGUAGAUAUUAGGAAGAACACCAGUGGCGAAGGCGAGUGUCUGGAGUGUAACUGACGUUGAGGCACGAAAGUGCGGGGAGCAAACAGGAUUAGAUACCCUAGUAGUC